UACGUAGGGUGCAAGCGUUGUCCGGAAUUACUGGGCGUAAAGAGCUCGUAGGUGGUUUGUCGCGUUGUCCGUGAAAACUCACAACUCAAUUGUGGGCGUGCGGGCGAUACGGGCAGACUGGAGUACUGCAGGGGAGACUGGAAUUCCUGGUGUAGCGGUGGAAUGCGCAGAUAUCAGGAGGAACACCGGUGGCGAAGGCGGGAUCCUGGGCCAGUACUGACGCUGAGGAGCGAAAGCGUGGGGAGCAAACAGG
rnacentral:rRNA from 1 species